GAUGAACGCUGGCGGCGUGUUUAAGGCAUGCAAGUCGAACGAACAUACUGCGAUUACAUCAACUGUAUGAGAGUGGCAAACGGGAGCGUAACACAUUGGUCACCUGCCUCGAAGUCGAGAACAACCUUGGGAAACCAGGGCUAAUACUCGAUACUGAUGAGAGAACUCAAGUUCCCUCAUUGAAAGAUUUAUCACUUCGAGAGGGGCCUAUGCCCUANCAGCUAGUUGGUGAGGUAAUGGCUCACCAAGGCAAUGAC
rnacentral:rRNA from 1 species